rnacentral:rRNA from 1 species
GAUGAACGCUGGCGGCGUGCCUAAUACAUGCAAGUCGAGCGAACAGAUGAGGAGCUUGCUCCUCUGACGUUAGCGGCGGACGGGUGAGUAACACGUGGAUAACCUACCUAUAAGACUGGGAUAACUUCGGGAAACCGGAGCUAAUACCGGAUAAUAUAUUGAACCGCAUGGUUCAAUAGUGAAAGACGGUUUUGCUGUCACUUAUAGAUGGAUCCGCGCCGCAUUAGCUAGUUGGUAAGGUAACGGCUUACCAAGGCAACGAUGCGUAGCCGACCUGAGAGGGUGAUCGGCCACACUGGAACUGAGACACGGUCCAGACUCCUACGGGAGGCGGCAGUAGGGAAUCUUCCGCAAUGGGCGAAAGCCUGACGGAGCAACGCCGCGUGAGUGAUGAAGGUGUUCGGAUCGUAAAACUCUGUUAUUAGGGAAGAACAAAUGUGUAAGUAACUAUGCACGUCUUGACGGUACCUAAUCAGAAAGCCACGGCUAACUACGUG